AAACCUAGGAACAAAAGUCACACAGAUUAUUGGGAUCCUAUUGCUCCAGCACUCCCGUUUCCUACGCUGCUUUCCGGGACAAGUUGGGGGAGAUUUUCACUGACCAAACCAUAACUGAGCAACAGAAUGGAUUCUGCAGUCAUUUCCUGAUUUACGAUGAAUCCUGCAAUGAUUCGGCGUAAGGUCUCAUGAACUUUCCGGGCCAGUUUUAAACUCGUGGUAUUUUGUAAGAUCUGAAGGCAAACACAAAUGUCAUGCUCAGGUAAACACAGAAUUGCAUUUGGAUUUGUUGUAAUGGUAGCUCUUAAAUAUAUAUAUAUAUGUAUAUACACACA